UGGCAGAACCACAAGAUAUUGACAAUGGAAA
rnacentral:piRNA from 1 species